GACGAACGCUGGCGGCGUGCUUAACACAUGCAAGUCGAACGGAAAGGCCCUGCUUUUGUGGGGUGCUCGAGUGGCGAACGGGUGAGUAACACGUGAGUAACCUGCCCUUGACUUUGGGAUAACUUCAGGAAACUGGGGCUAAUACCGGAUAGGAGCUCCUGCUGCAUGGUGGGGGUUGGAAAGUUUCGGCGGUUGGGGAUGGACUCGCGGCUUAUCAGCUUGUUGGUGGGGUAGUGGCUUACCAAGGCUGUGACGGGUAGCCGGCCUGAGAGGGUGACCGGCCACAUUGGGACUGAGAUACGGCGCAGACUGGUACGGGAGGCAGCAGUGGGGAAUAUUGCACAAUGGGCGGAAGUCUGAUGCAGAAACGCCGCGUGCGGGAUGACGGCCUUCGGGUUGUAAACAGCUUUAGCCUGUGACGAAGCGUGAGUGACGGUAAUGGGUAAAGAAGCACCGGCUAACUACGUG
rnacentral:rRNA from 1 species